AAUUUGCUGGGUCUGCUGCAAAACUAGGGUUCCUCGUCAAAUUCUUAAUUCCUGGUAUGUAUUUAGUGUUCUUUUUGUUAAUUUACUCGGUUGUGACCUGAGAGCUAUCGACUAUACAUUUACUUCAUAUGUGGGGUUAUAGAACACAAUUGAGUGGAUUUGGAUUUAUCACAAGGGAUUGUCAUAUUAUUUGGUUUGUGUUUGAAAGUGCUAUCACAAGAGAGGAAUAUUGGUGUCAUCAUAGGGUGGAGUAUCUAUUGGUGUUGGUCACUUUGAGGUUUUUUCUCCUCUGCUCUUCUUAUGUUAUAUGGUUCCCUCUUUGUGCAUUCUGAAUGAUUCGAUGAUGCUACCUACUUUUAUGCUUGAUUAGAGAAGAUAGUAGUUACAUUUUGAUAUGUUUGACAUCAUUGUAGAAGCUUUAGCUGGAUUUAUCUGAUAGUAGGAAGUGCAAUGUAAAAGAAACAAAAGUGUUUUUGGACUCAAGCCAUUAAGUAUUUAAGCAAUAAGCAGUAUGAGCUAAUACAAUGAGAGAAUAAGAGGUAUAUCUUUCUGUUUCUUAUGUGUUUUCAUUUUAGCAUAAAACACUAGAUGAAAAUUAAUGUAUAUAGGUUUAUAUUUUGGUAUACAGAUCAAAAUAAGUUUUAAACAAUUACCAGAGCCCAGUUAUUUAAUUACCAGAGCUCAAGAGUUGCGGACCAAUUUUAUCGAGCAGGUCUACCCAGGAGGAUGGAGUGCAAUAUAUCUCGACAAUCAAGGCAUGUAGAAUUUAAGGUCUCAAAAAUUGAAAAACUGGUACUUGGGCCAAGAGCUUUAUAUAAUAAUUUAUGAUGCUGAUCCAAAUUUAAUCAAAAAGAAACCUCCUCUCAAAACCUAUUAUAAAGUACACUCCAAUUGUGUUUACUAUAAUGGGUUUUCACUUUGCUAAUAAAGGGCAGGGUAAUAGCUACUCUGUACUCCGAACAUUGUUGAGCAUAAUUCACCUACUUCAGACAGAGAUUUAGAUGGACAUUUGAAUUCUCUACUUAGUUUGUUUCAAACAAUUCUCUCUGUGAAACUGUGCCCACAUCGUUAUGCCUUUUGUGCCAUUUUGGCACAUAAUAACUUAAAAGUAAUAGAUUGUUAGCCUUUCGCAUGCAGAUUUCUAAUUUUAAGGUUUGUGAUUUUGAUGCAGAUUAGAUUGGGAUUUUUAACAUUAUUGCUGAUUUUGUUAGCAGCUAUUGUCAUGCGGGCUGUGAAGAAUGUGGUGGAUACUGGAAGAACAAUUGUUUGGGGGGGAAGGUUUGGAGAUGGGAAGUGCAGCCCUGGAUUUCGUUCAACUUAUAAUCUCUAUGAUCCUGUGGUCUGCUCUACUGUUCUGGUCAACUCUCUCAUUCUCUCACUAUGUGAAAAUGCACUAAUAAGGAGUGCUCUGUCAAACUACUUAAUUUGCCUGUAGCGUACACUCUGGCCAAAUGAGCAUGUAUUAGGCACUCUGGGGUUUCUCUGCACUCAACUUUACAAGAGAUUCAUGCAUGUCUUGUUACUAUUCUAGGCUUCUAGCAUUGCAUAAGUACUCCUAUACUUCGCAAUGAAGCCUGCCAUUCUCCAGAGAAUAGUAAAGAUUGGGUUGGGAUUUUUAACAGUAUUGCUGGUUUUGUUAGCACUUUGGCUUGGGUGACAGAAAAAGUUGGCUGGUAGUUAGUGAUCCCACACACUUCAGCGAAACCUACAGCUAAAAAACGUUGAUAUGUGCCCACUCUCGCAACACCCCUGCACUUGGGAUACGAGGUUCACCAUCUGAGUGAAGAAUCCUUGCUACAGAGGUCUAUGCUAUUCCUGACAUCUUUCCACCAGACAUUUACAUCCCAACUACAAUACAGAUUUUUUGGCGGAACCUUGGUGGAAGAAAUUUGUGGGAAUCAAGGGAUGACAGAAAAUGGGGACAUGACAAGUUCUUCGAGGAGAUAACUACUCAAGAAAGGCGCCGUGAAGAGGAAGGCAUCUAGAGGACGUAUCGGAGCCCAGGAAAAGUUCAAGGAGAAAAACGUAGUUAUGCACGAGAUAACAGGCCUAAAAUGUUUAACAAUGACAGUUGGAACAAUGUGCCCAACAAUCAGAACAGUCGGCUGCAGAACAGUACUCCCAAGAACCCGGACACCCAAGAACCAAAACAAUGCACCUAAGGGUGUAAGAGGGAGAGGCCCGGGAAGAUAUCAUCAAUCUUAUUGGAAUGAGGUUCCAAUACAAAAAAAGCUGUGAGUAGAAAUUUUUAUUAAGAUGUGGUUCAUUGCCCGAGAUAUUAUUGUAAAUUAAGUUUUUUAGUACCGGGUAAAAACUGAUUAAUUUGUGCAUUCAGUUCCUAGAUUUUUUUAUUGUUGACAUGUACUUUCAAAAGAAGAAUUAUGGGUGUAAUAUAUAUGGUUUUGAUGUACAUUUUGAUUUUAAUAUGAUUCUUAAUAAAGUUUAAUUUAGUGUUA